ensembl:lncRNA
AUGAGCUGGAAAUGGGGCCACCGUAAUGAGGAGAGCCAUGGUCAAACCCAUGAGCUCUAGCAGCAGAUGGCUUGAGUUUAAAUCAUGCCUUUACCAUUUAACUCUGAGUGAUCUUGAACCCCUCCUUGUUCAGUUUUCUUAUCUGCAAGGCAGGAGUGACAAGAGCAUCUGGCUUGGAUACAAGGAUCCCAUGAGUGAAGAGCCGUAGGCAUUUCCAGCAGUGUCAGGCCCAAGCCUCCUCUGCAAAGCUGAGCUCCACAAGGCGGUUAAAAGAAUCAACUCUAAAGCUGGACAGCCUAGACUAUCCUGUGCUCCCCUGCCUUAGGUAGGUGACAUGGAAUAAGUGACUCUCUUUGUCUCAGUUUCCCCAUCUGCCAUCGAGGAGUAAGAGUCCGCUCCCCCACCAGGAUAUUGUGAGAAUCAGACAAGUUAAGACACACAAACUCGUUAUUCCUGGUGUUUGAAAUAUCAUCUGUUUUGAUGCUUCUGGGAGCAAGCUGCAGAAAAUGGAUCCACAAAGGACACACUCAGAUCCCUGGUUUCCUGCUCUGGAUAAUGCCCCAUCCUUGGUCUGUGCCGGCCCCACUGAGGGCCACACCCACGUUUAUAUGGAGGUCCUAGAAGUGGAGGGGAAUGGGGAGGUGCAGGGUGGGCAGGGAGAGGGGGUUCUCCACCAUGGAAUGCUCACCGGCGAGUCCCAGCAGUAGGGUCAGCAGCAGGCGAGGAGCAGGAGGGUGGGACCAGCAUUCAGGGAUGGGCAUUGCCGAGGCCUGAGGAGGCUGCUCUGUCCAAAUGUGUGUCCUGGUGAGAAGUGGACUUGUGUGCUCUGUGGAGAGGAGCUAAGCCCCACCUCCUGUGAUAUAAGAGGAAGUGCCUGGGGAGGAAUGAAAUGGCUGUGAGAUAGUAACUUGCUUCUGCAUUCUAGACAGUUCCUGCUUUUAGAUGGAGAACUAGAAAUCAGGCAGAAAAACUUGUUACAAGGUAGAAUUAUUGACUUCUGUAACAUUGUGUAAGCAUUACGUAAACCUUAUGUGAACCUUAGAUAACGUUAUGGAAACAAAAAUAUCUACAUUACGUAACCAUAGUAUUUCCAUUAUGUUUAAUGUAUGGUAUGUUUAAUGUAUGUUUAAUGAAUGUUAUGUUUAAUGUUUCAUGUAUUAGGAGGUUACAAGUUGGAGGUACUCAUGUAACAUAAUGUAUAUACUUAGUAAACGCUUAUAUAAGAGUAUAUAAAGAUUAUGGAAACACACUGAUGUUUUCAGAAAG